CGUGUAGGCGGUCAGGUAAGUGAAAUAGUGAAAUGCCUCGGCUCACCCGAGGACCGGCAUCUCAUACUGCUUGGCUUGAGUUCGGGAGAGGAUGUGGGAAUUCCUGGUGUAGCGGUGAAAUGCGUAGAUAUCAGGAGGAACACCGGUGGCGAAGGCGCACAUCUGGCCCGAUACUGACGCGUGAGGCGCAAGGCUAGGGAGCAAACG
rnacentral:rRNA from 1 species